AUUGAACGCUGGCGGCAGGCCUAACACAUGCAAGUCGAACGAGUGGCGGACGGGUGAGUAAUGUCUGGGAAACUGCCUGAUGGAGGGGGAUAACUACUGGAAACGGUAGCUAAUACAGCAUACUAUCAGAUGAGCCUAGAUCGGAUUAGCUAGUUGGUGGGGUAAAGGCUUACCAAGGCGAGGAUCCCUAACUGGUCUGAGAGGAUGACCAUCAACACUGGAACUGAGACACGGUCCAGACUCCUACGGGAGGCAGCAGUGGGGAAUAUUGGACAAUGGGCGAAAGCCUGAUGCAGCCAUGCCGCGUGUGUGAAGAAGGUCUUCGGAUUGUAAAGUACUUUAAGUGGGGAGGCGUUACCAACAGAAUAAGCACCGGCUAACUCCGUGCCAGCAGCCGCGGUAAUUC
rnacentral:rRNA from 1 species